rnacentral:rRNA from 1 species
AACGUUAAUGAUUAGCCUAACACAUGCAAGUUAAAAUUAAUUAGCGCACGGGUGUGUAACAUACAGAAAACAGUACCGAGAACAUUAUUAAAUAUAUGGGAAGAUUAAAUCAACUCGGCAAUGGUCUGUAAAAGAUUAAGUAGUUGGUAUAAAAAGCCUACCAAGCUUAUGAUCUUUAGCUGGUCUGUGAGGAUGAGCAGCCACACUGGAAUUGAAAAACGGUCCAGACUUUAUUUUAAAGGCAGCAGUGGGGAAUAUUGGGCAAUGAGCGAUAGCUUGACCCAGCUAAAUCAUAUAUGUGAAGAAGGCUUAGCUGUAAAGCAUAAAUAAAUUUUAAAUAAUGAUAAAAUACUAAAUAGUCCUGGCUAAUUUCGUGCCAGCAGCCGCGGUAAG